GGUAAACCGCCCUCUUUCCCUGAUCGUUGAAAAAUCCCAGAAAAAUUCGACCGAGGUCAGAAGAAAAUGGACGAAGAUCGUCUGAAGCAAGAAAAGGUUCAGAGAUUUGAAGAAUUCGUCGAUCGCCGGUUGAAGCCCGAUCUCGUCAACGCCAUUGCUCAACGGUUGUAUUCCCCUUCAGUCUCUCUCUCUCUCUCUCUCUCUCUCUCUCUCUCUCUCAACGUAUGUUAUUCUUCUUCUUCUCGCAGGGAUAAGGUCUUCGAGCAGCAGAAAGUGUUCUCGGAUCUGAAGAGAAACAUUGAGAAUUUGCGGAAGAAUGGUGUGACCUCUCUGAGAAUGAUGGUCAAUCUCGGGUCCGAAGUAUAUAUGCAAGCUGAUGUUCCUGAUACACGGCACAUAUUUGUGGAUGUAGGACUGGGCUUCCAUGUGGAAUUUACUUGGUCAGAGGCACUGGAAUUUAUAUCUAUAAGGGAAGCUAGGUUGGCAAGACAAAUAGAGGAGUACACACAUCUUAUUGCAAAUAUCAAAGCACAAAUCAAAUUGUUCCAAGGUGGACAAAUGAACAAAUAUGUAGGAGGGAAGUUAAGGAAUAAUAAAAAGCAUGAGCAAUGUAGAUGUUGCAGAAUCAUUGUAUAUCUGAUGUUGAGGUCUUUGAAGUUGGGUCAAGCUCUUUCAAUGGAGAGCCUCCGUUUGGAGUUACGGAUGAAUGGUUGAAGCUUCUAUAAAUGAGUAAAUAUGUUGGUUUUGGAUUCGAUUUGGAAGUUGAAAAUCGUAAAAGAAGCGAUUUUUUCUUCUUCUUCUGUGAUGUUGGAAAGAGAGAGAUUGCCGAGGGGAGGGUGCGGGGGUGAUGAAUGAUGCAAAGGACGAAGGCCAACAUUAGGAUGGGUGGCAGCAGUGGCAACCGGUUGAAGGACGGCCAUGGAUUUGGGGGAAAUGGUGCAUUGUCCGUUGAUAAAAGGUUUGCGAGGGUAUCAGGGAGUUGCUUCAGUUACCAGCUGAGUGAUGUUUAUUACUUGCUCUGCUGACAGCAGCUCGAUUUUAUUUCCUGCUCCCCAAGUUGAUAUCUCUGGAACCUAAAGAAGCCAUUGAUGUAGGUUGGACAGAUGCCUGGUGCCUUUUUUUUUACAAAACAAGUUUCACUGAGCUUAAAUUACUGAAGUCAUCUGCGUCUGAAACACCAUUUGAUCAUGCCGGCCUAUCUGUGUUUUCCUUUAGCACAAUUAUAAUCUAUUACAUUUUUUUCUUCUCUGCUUGGCGUAUAAAUUUUUCUGUGGAGCUAUUUCAUAUUUGUAUCCUACUUAUUUUCUGGUUUAGAUUCCAGCACACAAGCAUGUAAAGCAUUGUCUAUAAUUUCAGAUUGGCAGGGCUAGAUCUUGAAGUUCAUAUAAUAACAGUGAGAUUUAUAUGUUGUAAUCUGAUUAUUGUUUUCUCC